CGGCGAACUGGAAAUGAUUAAUCGUCAUUUAUGAGCGUUAGUCGGACAUAUAAUAUACGCUAUAACAAACCUUCUGUAAAUACAUGCUGCAAGAAAUUGAACCUAACCUAACCGGUACACGACGCUGGCUAUUUCUCCACAUACAUUCUGUACAUAUAUAAAUAUCAAUGAUGGAUCGCUUUGCGAGCGCUUUGCAAAUAUCGAUUGGCCUGUGGUAAUUGCUUAAUAAUUUGCUACCGGUGACAGACGACUGUUUAGAUGGAUAAUGAGCGAGUCUAAUGACACGGAUGUUUUGCUUCUGAUCGCUUGAUGUAUUCCACGUACCGUCUUCCGACUCUGACACCAGUUUGAGCAAUCAUGUCAAAACGGUUUACGGAAGGUCCGGUGUUAUCUCGGAGCUGGUAGAAUAUAUGCAAUCAUUGGAGUCUUGAAUUUCUACGAUUGAGUCCAGAGAUAAUUCAUUGUUUGUAUCCAUUGACGACACUAAGAAAGCAGAAAAAUUAGCUAAAGAUGAAACCAAAUCUGUUGCAGAACAAAAGGAAAAAAUCAGAGCAGAGUUACAAAAGGUUUAUCAGAAAUAGGUGGAUGAGUUGAUAAAAGCAAAAUUGCAAGAAUUUCAAAUGCAACUUGAUAAUGCCAAAUCAGAAUUUUUAGAGGAAUUAAAAACAAGAUAAAAUGCAGAAAUGCAGUUAGUAAAAGAAGACAAAGAUUCAAAACCCAGAAGUAAUAUUUCGAGUCCGCCAUUAGGAUGCAGAGAAGAACCGCGGAAACAUUAUUUAAAAAAGGAAUUGAGUAUGAGUGAGGAUAGCGUCACAUGGCAAUAAAAUCCCAAGAUGUAUACACGAUAUUAGUGAACAUGUACCACUUCCGUAAAAAAUGCUUACAAAAAUGGAUCAGAAGAACAAGUCUCCUUGAAAAUGUAUAACAUAUAAUGAUAAUGAUUCCGAAAGCAUUGCUGAGCUCGAUUAUGGCAACUGAAUUCAGAGUACAGUGUACUUAGCAAUAAUAAAUUUUUUUAUAUGGAACAAAUAUCAAUUUAUUUUUUUCUG